ACUCCUACGGGAGGCAGCAGUGGGGAAGUAUUGGACAAUGGGGGAAACCCUGAUCCAGCAAUGCCGCGUGAGUGAUGAAGGCCUUAGGGUUGUAAAGCUCUUUUACCAGGGAUGAUAAUGACAGUACCUGGAGAAUAAGCUCCGGCUAACUCCGUGCCAGCAGCCGCGGUAAUACGGAGGGAGCUAGCGUUGUUCGGAAUUACUGGGGCGUAAAGCGCACGUAGGCGGUUACUCAAGUCAGAGGUGAAAGCCCGGGGCUCAACCCCGGAACUGCCUUUUGAAACUAGGUAACUAGAAUCCUGGAGAGGUGAGUGGAAUUCCGAGUGUAGAGGUGAAAUUCGUAGAUAUUCGGAAGAACACCAGUGGCGAAGGCGGCUCACUGGACAGGUAUUGACGCUGAGGUGCGAAAGCGUGGGGAGC
rnacentral:rRNA from 1 species